rnacentral:ncRNA from 2 species
ACCGGAUUUUAAGCGCCAGAACUUCAUUGUGCGCGUUUCGUUUGGACCGAUUUAGGAAAUCGGCGCGAGAUCAAGGGAACGUUGUUGAGAAGCAGGGGCGGAAGGCUGGCUUGCAGCGACAACGGUGAAUCCUUGAGGCGUUAUUAUCGGUUCAAGCGUACGGCAAAGCGAAGUUGACGAGGUGGAGGUGUUCGGAAUGUUCGGCGGGGGCCUCCCGGUGCUGCAUCGCACCGUAACCGUAUCGGCAAAAGGAUGGGGCGACCUUUCCCACAAACCGUGCGGGCAGAUGGAU